rnacentral:lncRNA from 1 species
AUGUAUAAAAUCCAAUUUCAUCUCUCUUAUUCAUGCUAGGGAUAUUAUGUAAUAGAAACCCAGUCUUCCCUGUUCUUGCUGCAAAGUUCACCCAAUGGAUCAUUCUUCAGGGGAGGAAAGAAAGCCUUAUAUAAACCUCCUUGUGUCUUAUAAACCUUAUCUUUUAACCUAUACCAUAGCAGUUGCAGCUAAUUUAUUUAGAACUA